AGAGCUCAAAUUUCGAAUCUGGCGGUCCUCGAUCGUCCGAGUUGUAAUCUAGAGAAGCGUCUUCCGCGCCGGACCGUGUACAAGUCUCCUGGAAGGGAGCAUCGUAGAGGGUGACAAUCCCGUCUCUGACACGGACCGCCGGCGCUAUGUGAUGCGCUCUCGACGAGUCGAGUUGUUUGGGAAUGCAGCUCAAAUCGGGUGGUAAACUCCAUCUAAAGCUAAAUACGGGCGAGAGACCGAUAGCGAA
rnacentral:rRNA from 1 species